GAGAGAGGAAGAGCAGCUGCCGGUCCUCGAUGCUCGAGGGCUGAGGAAAGUCCCCCCACCGUAGGAGCGAACGCUGAGAGGGCGUAAGGCGAGAGUCUUGGCUCUGGUAUAGAAACGGGACCGAACCAUACCCACGUGAUGAUUCCGUAAGGAUGAAGUCGUAUGGUCACGGAUGGAACGACCAGCCUCGCGGGUGCAAGCCUGAAGAAGGCGCUGAGAUAAAUGCUGCUGAAACAGAAGGGGGCUUACUCUCCUCACUC
rnacentral:RNase_P_RNA from 1 species